AAAUAGAGUGGAAACGGAAGCCACAUGAUGCAGGGACCUGCGCGGAAUUCUCCAUAGCUACCGGUGCAGCGCAUCCCUGCGUGGGCAUGCACGCAUGUACCCGAGAAAAGACAAUGCUCUGCGUUCUACCACACUGACACAAAAACAAGUAACACAGUCUGUUGGGAGACAAAUGGAGGCUCUGACUGAAGGAGGAGAAUGGGGGUCCUGUCCGGAGGAGUUAGAUGGAGGACCUUCCUGGAGGAGGAAAAUGAGAUCCAUUCAUCAGAUGAGUAAGGAGUUAUCCUGGAUCAGCGGCCUUGCCGACAUCUUUCACACAGUGAAGAAAAGCAAAACCAGUCAGAGUUCUACAUUGCAGUUUUCAGGAUCUUUACAAGCCGACUGUUUAUCAUAUUAGGACAUUGAUCCAUAAAUAAAUUUGAA